CUCACACCAAGGCACACACACCAAUACUCUUGGAGAAGUGACGGAGAGUGGUAUUGAUUUCAGAAGAUACGGGGGAUAUGCCAUGUGUUAUGAGCUCGCUCUGAAGAUGUAGUUGUCCGCUGCUGGGGAGGAUGUGAUGGUCCUCCCUGGAAUACCCUCCGGAACGGACGACCCUCUCAUGCUCGGCACCCCUUGGCUUGGUGGCGUUUGUGUGUUGAGCAUGAUCCCUAAACUCCUGGCAUCUCUUUAUUGGAGAGACCUGCAUGCUCAGGAACACUGCUCAUUGGGAGACCAAGGGCUCUGAUUCCUGGGAAUGGCUGGUGGAUCCCUGGGGAGCCCAGAGCCCAGCUCGAUGCCUGUGGAGGCUCAGAGAAGUGUCAACACGCUCUAAGGGAGACUCUCUCCCAACAGAAGGCCAGGCAUCCAGUCAGGAGCCACAGCACAGCCUCACGUUCUGUUGUCAAACAGCUUUUCCCAGCAGCACCUUCCGCAAAAGUUCUAAAUGCACUGCAGACAGCCGUCAGAACUGAGCGUGAAGGUCAAAUGCAGAGCAGGCCUGCACUCAGAGUGACAUCUGACUUCACAAGUUUAAGGAUUGUCUAAAGUCAUCUCUGACGGGAAAUCGAUUCAAGGAAAACACUGAGAAUCCGACCAGACUAGCUUCCUGGGUACCAGUGCCAGGAGCUGAUGCAGCGUCAUCGCUCAUCCACGUCCAGGGCUGCCUGCUUCCUGACGGAACCACGGGGCUAAGCUUUGUCUGUUUUCCGCCCGAUGAUGCGGUGGCUUGGUUUUGCUGUAACUGAGACAGAUGCCUUGUGAGUUUGUGAUGUUCGGGGAUUAUUAAUAACCACGCAGAAGGAUUUAAGCAGGCGUGAACAUCUCAUCUCCCAGUAAGCAUGUCACUUUCAAAUCCAGAUUCUGCCCCCACAUAUUCAUAAACUCCUGUCAAAAUCCCUUUCUGUGUGGAGACUGAGCCUGCCUCUCAUUUUCAAGCAUAUCUGGUCUGAAUCUGUCCAGUGUUCUUCCUGCAAACAAGAGUUAAUCGAGCAGAGGUACUAUUUAUUUUAUCCCAAGAGCAUUUCUUAUCAG
ensembl:lncRNA